AUUGAACGCUGGCGGCAUGCCUUACACAUGCAAGUCGAACGGCAGCACGGGUGCUUGCACCUGGUGGCGAGUGGCGAACGGGUGAGUAAUACAUCGGAACAUGUCCUGUAGUGGGGGAUAGCCCGGCGAAAGCCGGAUUAAUACCGCAUACGAUCUACGGAUGAAAGCGGGGGACCUUCGGGCCUUGCGCUAUAGGGUUGGCCGAUGGCUGAUUAGCUAGUUGGUGGGGUAAAGGCCUACCAAGGCGACGAUCAGUAGCUGGUCUGAGAGGACGACCAGCCACACUGGGACUGAGACACGGCCCAGACUCCUACGGGAGGCAGCAGUGGGGAAUUUUGGACAAUGGGCGAAAGCCUGAUCCAGCAAUGCCGCGUGUGUGAAGAAGGCCUUCGGGUUGUAAAGCACUUUUGUCCGGAAAGAAAUCCUUGGCCCUAAUACGGUCGGGGGAUGACGGUACCGGAAGAAUAAGCACCGGCUAACUACGUG
rnacentral:rRNA from 1 species